GCCGCCGUAGACCAACGGCAGAGUCAGUGGUUUCAAACUCCACGAAGUGCCGGUUCGAAUCCGGCCGGCGGCA
rnacentral:tRNA from 1 species